rnacentral:rRNA from 1 species
GACGAACGCUGGCGGCGUGCCUAAUACAUGCAAGUCGAACGCAGGGGGGACGGGUGAGUGACACGUGGGUAACCUCCCAUAUGAGGGGAUAACACUUGGAAACAGGUGCUAAACCGAUACUGAUGGAUGAACCCGCGGUGCAUUAGCUAGUCGGUGAGGUAACGGCUCACCAAGGCGACGAUGCAUAGCCGACCUGAGAGGGUGAGCGGCCACACUGGGACUGAGACACGGCCCAGACUCCUACGGGAGGCAGCAGUGGGGAAUCUUGGGCAAUGGACGAAAGUCUGACCGAGCAACGCCGCGUGGGUGAAGAAGGUUUUCGGAUCGUAAAACUCUGUUGGUGGAGAAGCGGUAUCUAAACAGAAAGCCACGGCUAACUACGUGCCAGCAGCCGCGGUAAUUC